rnacentral:rRNA from 1 species
GAUGAACGCUGGCGGCGUGCCUAAUACAUGCAAGUCGAGCGAACGGACGAGAAGCUUGCUUCUCUGAUGUUAGCGGCGGACGGGUGAGUAACACGUGGAUAACCUACCUAUAAGACUGGGAUAACUUCGGGAAACCGGAGCUAAUACCGGAUGAUAUUUUGAACCGCAUGGUUCAAAAGUGAAAGACGGUCUUGCUGUCACUUAUAGAUGGAUCCGCGCUGCAUUAGCUAGUUGGUAAGGUAACGGCUUACCAAGGCAACGAUGCAUAGCCGACCUGAGAGGGUGAUCGGCCACACUGGAACUGAGACACGGUCCAGACUCCUACGGGAGGCAGCAGUAGGGAAUCUUCCGCAAUGGGCGAAAGCCUGACGGAGCAACGCCGCGUGAGUGAUGAAGGUCUUCGGAUCGUAAAACUCUGUUAUUGGGGAAGAACAUAUGUGUAAGUAACUGUGCACGUCUUGACGGUACCUAAUCAGAAAGCCACGGCUAACUUCGUG